UCAUAUGUACAUGUAGGUGGGGGUAAAGUGACUGUACAUAGAUAAUAAACAGUAGUACAGGUUAGUUGAGGUAGAUAUGUACAUGUAGGUGGGGGUAAAGUGACUGUACAUAGAUAAUAAACAGUAGUACAGGUUAGUUGAGGUAGAUAUGUACAUGUAGGUGGGGGUAAAGUGACUGUACAUAGAUAAUAAACAGUAGUACAGGUUAGUUGAGGUAGAUAUGUACAUGUAGGUGGGGGUAAAGUGACUGUACAUAGAUAAUAAACAGUAGUACAGGUUAGUUGAGGUAGAUAUGUACAUGUAGGUAGGGGUAAAGUGACUGUACAUAGAUAGUACAGGUUAGUUGAGGUAGAUAUGUACAUGUAGGUAGGGGUAAAGUGACUGUACAUAGAUAAUAAACAGUAGUACAGGUUAGUUGAGGUAGAUAUGUACAUGUAGGUGGGGGUAAAGUGACUGUACAUAGAUAAUAAACAGUAGUACAGGUUAGUUGAGGUAGAUAUGUACAUGUAGGUGGGGGUAAAGUGACUGUACAUAGAUAAUAAACAGUAGUACAGGUUAGUUGAGGUAGAUAUGUACAUGUAGGUGGGGGUAAAGUGACUGUACAUAGAUAAUAAACAGUAGUACAGGUUAGUUGAGGUAGAUAUGUACAUGUAGGUAGGGGUAAAGUGACUGUACAUAGAUAAUAAACAGUAGUACAGGUUAGUUGAGGUAGAUAUGUACAUGUAGGUAGGGGUAAAGUGACUGUACAUAGAUAAUAAACAGUAGUACAGGUUAGUUGAGGUAGAUAUGUACAUGUAGGUGGGGGUAAAGUGACUAUACAUAGAUAAUAAACAGUAGUACAGGUUAGUUGAGGUAGAUA